rnacentral:rRNA from 1 species
GACGUAGGGGGCCAGCGUUGCUCGGAAUUACUGGGUGUAAAGGGUUCGUAGGCGGUGUGGCAAGUCGGGAGUGAAAUCUCUGGGCUCAACCCAGAGUCUGCUUCCGAAACUGCUGUGCUUGAGUGUGGGAGAGGCGCGUGGAAUUGCAGGUGUAGCGGUGAAAUGCGUAGAUAUCUGGAGGAACACCGGUGGCGAAGGCGGCAUCCUGGACCGACACUGACGCUGAGGAGCGAAAAGCCAGGGGAGCAAACGGGG